rnacentral:rRNA from 1 species
GACGAACGCUGGCGGCGUGCUUAACACAUGCAAGUCGAGCGGUAAGGCCCUUUCGGGGGUACGACGAGCGGCGAACGGGUGAGUAACACGUGGGUGACCUGCCCUCAGCUCUGGGAUAAGCCUGGGAAACUGGGUCUAAUACUGGAUAUGACUCCACGGUGCAUGUCGUGGGGUGGAAAGCCUUGUGCGGCUGAGGAUGGGCCCGCGGCCUAUCAGCUUGUUGGUGGGGUGANGGCCUACCAAGGCGACGACGGGUAGCCGGCCUGAGAGGGCGACCGGCCACACUGGGACUGAGACACGGCCCAGACUCCUACGGGAGGCAGCAGUGGGGAAUCUUGCGCAAUGGGCGAAAGCCUGACGCAGCGACGCCGCGUGAGGGAUGAC